CCCAUAUCUGUUUAUUACAGCCCAGAAUGAAUAAAUUAUAUAAUAGUAUCCUUUACACAAUAGAGAGCCUUAGUAGGCCCAAUAUAAACUUGGGAACCAGGCCUUCAAACAUAGCAACUUUGAAUAAUAAAGGAGGAUCCAUCCAUGGCACAUAGGAUUAGGUUCCUAGUGUGGAAAAGUUUCCAAGGGCCUCAAAGACCCCGAGCAAUGCUCAGACUAGGACCAUACUUAAAAAAACAGUUCAUAAAAUAUUGAAAAACCAGCCCCGAUGUGUCAGAGUUAAGAGGAGUCUCAAGGACCUUAGGCAAUGCUCACACUGGGGGUGGUAGGAACCUAAAUAAUUAAGAGUAGGAGUUUGAAAACCAGUACAUAGAGGGUAAAGGGGGGACAGGUUUAGAAACCAGCACAUACAGAAUAGCAACAUAAUUGCACCAAGGAAUAAACAAAAUUCAUAUUCAUCAUAUAGUUUGAACAAGUUUGCAUUUUUGAAUAGGCUAGAUGCUAAUAUUAAACAAACAGGGCUUAAGCACAGAAACAAUUAGUAAAGAAACAGGGCACAUGAAUUAGCCUCACAUUGAUCACAUGUUUCUAGCAAAGUUUAGAACAGGAACUGAAUUAGGAAGAAUUUCAUAUUAUUGAAGAUAACUUACCUUAACAACAUCACUAAGUGGAAUCAGGCAGUCACAUAGAAAACAGAAUCAUGCUAGGAAUUGAAACAUGUUAAGCAAACAAUGCAUAGAGAAAGGAAUUGCAAAUGUUAAGGCAUACCAGUUGAGAAGAAAGAAAGUAAAGAUGCAGUAACAGUUAAGUUCCAGAACAAUUUCGCUUUUGGCUUUCACCCGGUAAAAUAAUAGCCACUUAGUACAGAAAUUAGAACAUGAGCGAGAGAGAGAGCGCUUAAGUUUAGUAGUAAAAAUAGGAGAGUUUGAAUGUUGUUCUAAAGGGGAAAGGGAAACAGCUUAAAUAAUGCUCAAUAAGCUAGACAAAUAAGGUAUUGCAUCAGUCCUACACAUAAAAGGCAUGAGAAUAACUUCACAGUCAAUUAGAGUCAACUUCAAUUAAUUAACAGGACAUAAUGACAUAAAAUCAGGCUAGUACCACUUAAUUUAGGGAAUGCAUUAUAUGGAAUCAAUCAGUAGUCAAGUACUAGAUCAAAAUAAGGUAAAGAAAUAAUUUCAGGAUCAAUUUGAAGUCUAGUUUAGGUACAGAUAGUACAGAGCUCGAGUAACCAGGCAAGUACUACUCAAAAUAAGGUAAAUAUCAUACAGACUCAAUUAUCAAUCAGCAAACAAGGGGAAGAAAUAAAGGAAUAAAAAUAAGGAAAGCAUCAGUACUAUACGAGAAAGGAAAGAGUAAAAGUCUCAAACCCUAGUUUUAGGUAAACCACAAAAUCAACAGAGAAACAAGGGCAAAAUUAUCAUAUAUUGUGUACAAUGAACAUAGACAGGAGAUUUAUUCAAAAAGUAAUAAAGAAGCAUACUAGAGAAAGAUCUGAAACCCUUAUUUUUGGAUAAGUAAAUUAAUCAAAAACAACUAGAGGAAUGACAUAGAUACACGAAAACAUUAAAGAGAAAAUACUCAGAAUUAAGGAACCCUAAUAGAUCCGAAAAGAUCUGGGCCUUAAUUCUGGGCGAGUAGAAUCACAAUAACAUGCACAUAGACAGAUUUACGAACCGUUAAAGAAGAUAUUCAUCCAUAAAUGGAACUAGAACAGAUCUCAAGGAUCUUAGCCCUAGUUUUUAGCGAAAAUAGAUUAGACAAGACUUAUAACGAAACAAUCGCAAAGAAAAUAGACAUGUGGUGAGAUUUUAACAAAAUAAGAACAAAAAUUAAACAAGUCAUAAAAUAUUUGAACCUUAAUUUUAAGGGUAAACACAAAAUCAAAAGAAUCUCAGAGAUUCGUACCAUAAAGAGACGAAAAAUGAACAUAAUUGGAAAGAAGUAAAGGUUCGAACCAGAUUUGGUUCAAAACAAGAGAGAUCCACCUACCAUGUUAGGCAAGUGAUUAUGUAAUACCAUAAUCGGUUAACCAGUAGAGAAAGGAAGCCGGAGAAGGUAAGAAAUCACCGGAUGAUUCCAUAUUUGGUUGGAAGCAAAGGGGUUUUGGAGGGGAUUAGACGCUUAGAAUUUGACAGAGAGAAGGGGGAGGUUGAGAGAGUUCAAGGGCGGCGAG
rnacentral:lncRNA from 1 species